rnacentral:rRNA from 1 species
GAUCCAGCCAUCCCGCGUGAAGGACGACGGCCCUAUGGGUUGUAAACUUCUUUUGUACAGGGAUAAACCUCCCCUCGUGAGGGGAGCUGAAGGUACUGUACGAAUAAGCACCGGCUAACUCCGUGCCAGCAGCCGCGGUAA